rnacentral:rRNA from 1 species
UGGGGAAUUUUGGACAAUGGGCGAAAGCCUGAUCCAGCAAUGCCGCGUGCAGGAUGACGGUCCUAUGGAUUGUAAACUGCUUUUGUACAGGAAGAAACAGUUCUACGUGUAGAACCUUGACGGUACUGUAAGAAUAAGGAUCGGCUAACUCCGUGCCAGCAGCCGCGGUAAUACGGAGGAUCCAAGCGUUAUCCGGAAUCAUUGGGUUUAAAGGGUCCGUAGGCGGUUAGAUAAGUCAGUGGUGAAAGCCCAUCGCUCAACGGUGGAACGGCCAUUGAUACUGUCUGACUUGAAUUAUUAGGAAGUAACUAGAAUAUGUAGUGUAGCGGUGAAAUGCUUAGAGAUUACAUGGAAUACCAAUUGCGAAGGCAGGUUACUACUAAUGGAUUGACGCUGAUGGACGAAAGCGUGGGUAGCGAACAGGAUUAGAUACCCUAGUAGUCCCUGAGCGGGCUGGCAAGGCGCAU